CACGGAGUUAGCCGAUGCUUUUUCUUCGGGUACUCUCGGAACGCCACGCGUGGCGUCUUUUGCUCCCCGACAAAAGAGGUUUACAAUCCAUAGGACCGUCUUCCCUCACGCGACUUGGCUGGUUCAGGCUCGCGCCCAUUGACCAAUAUUCCUCACUGCUGCCUCCCGUAGGAGUCUGGUCCGUGUCUCAGUACCAGUGUGGGGGACCUUCCUCUCAGAACCCCUACGCAUCGUCGCCUUGGUGGGCCGUUACCCCGCCAACCAGCUAAUGCGCCGCAUGGCCAUCCGUAGCCGGUGUCACCCUUUAAACCCCAAGAGAUGCCUCUCGGAGUUAUUACGCGGUAUUAGACGGAAUUUCUUCCGCUUAUCCCCCUGCUACGGGCAGGUUCCAUACGUGUUACUCACCCGUGCGCCGGUCGCCGGCAGAAGUAUUGCUACCUCCCCGCUGCCCCUCGACUUGCAUGUGUUAAGCCUGUCGCUAGCGUUCAUCCUGAGCCAGGAUCAAACUCU
rnacentral:rRNA from 1 species